rnacentral:tRNA from 1 species
GGGCGAGUAGCUCAGCCGGUUAGAGCAGGGGGCUCAUAACCCUCGGGUCGCAGGUUCGAAUCCUGCCUCGCCCACCC